UCACACUCCUACGGGAGGCAGCAGUGGGGGAAUAUUGCACAAUGGGGGAAACCCUGAUGCAGCCGAUGCCGCGUGUGUGAAGAAGGCCUUCGGGUUGUAAAGCACUUUCAGCGAGGAGGAAAGGUGUAAGUUAAUACCUUACAUCUGUGACGUUACUCGCAGAAGAAGCACCGGCUAACUCCCGUGCCAGCAGCCGCGGUAAUACGGAGGGUGCGAGCGUUAAUCGGAAUUACUGGGCGUAAAGCGCAUGCAGGUGGUUUGUUAAGUCAGAUGUGAAAGCCCGGGGCUCAACCUCGGAACUGCAUUUGAAACUGGCAGACUAGAGUACUGUAGAGGGGGUAGAAUUUCAGGUGUAGCGGUGAAAUGCGUAGAGAUCUGAAGGAAUACCGGUGGCGAAGGCGGCCCCCUGGACAGAUACUGACACUCAGAUGCGAAAGCGUGGGGAGCAAACAGGAUUAGAUACCCUGGUAG
rnacentral:rRNA from 1 species